UGUCUGUCAUCCAGGUUUGUCCUUGGAGCUGGUUAUACGUUUAUCUGUGGUGGUGGUUCUGCUGCCUGUUGUUCUGCUGCUCAUCUACAAAAUCACGGCCGAGGGCUCUAACGGUUUGAACAGCAGGAGACACUCAGCAUAUGACCACACUGAGAUUGGUCUCAGUGAAAUCGAUCGUCCAGUCUCCUCAUGUGAAGACUCGACCUACCAAAGUCUCAAUACAGCGAGCAGAGAUCACAACCAAACCUACUCUACACUCAGACACAAUAACCAGUUUUCAGACAUGAACUCCUGUCAAACUGAAUGACUGCAUGAGCAUACCAGUCAUUUUCCCAUUAAACCAAGUUACCAGGGUCAGUGAUGAAGAUUUCAUCAUCAAAGAGGAGUAAAAGCAGGAACGAGAUUAUGGACCUCUUAGAAUCCACAUGUCAAGCUCAUCCAUGUCAUCUUCUCCCAUUACUUCAUGGGAGAAGAUGACAAACCAGUAUCAAACCAGUAUCACAACCAAACAUGUAAUAGACACGCCGCCCUCAGGCACUCCCAGGUGUGGGGGCCUAAAUUCAAUUCAAUUCAAUUCAGUUUUAUUUAUAUAGCGCCAAAUCACAACAAAAGUCGCCUCAAGGCGCUUCACCACAAUCCCUGCGGGGUGGCUGAUGCCCUCGGACGUUGGUGUGCUCUCAGUCAUGCGUGCUACACAAUAACAUUCAAUAUUUAGUAUUUAGAGUUACCUACAGUUAUCCAAGUUAUUGCUGUGAUGUCGUGUUUAUUGUGUUGCUCUCUUUUUGCUUGUUUUCCUUUUUUUGUUCUCUCUCAACAGGUGAUCCAGCAGAUUUAUUUUUUGAUUUUUUUUAGUGUCUUCUCUCACUGUCCCUCUUCUCCCCUGUUUUUCUUUCCCUCCCUUUCUUUCUAUCUCAUUUUCCUACUCCCAAGUCUGUCUGUCCUGUCUGUAAUAACUUAAAAUAAAAUAAAAUAAAAUAAAUACAUUAAAU